CGGACCUCCGAUCAAGCAAGAGGACCCGCUGAAUUUAAGCAUAUGACUAAGCGGAGGAAAAGAAACUAACCAGGAUUCCCCCAGUAACGGCGAGUGAAGCGGGAAGAGCUCACGUUGUAAAUCUGACUUCGGUCCGAAUUGUAGUCUGGAGAGGCGUGACCAGCUGGAGACGGGGGCGAAGUCUCUUGGAAAAGAGCAUCAAGGAGGGUGACAAUCCCGUUCUUGCCCCCGCCUUCCACGCGUACGGUCCGUUUUCUACGAGUCGAGUUGCUUGGGAUUGCAGCUCAAAGCGGGUGGUAAAUUCCAUCUAAAGCUAAACACGGGUGGGAGACCGAUAGCGAACAAGUACCGUGAGGGAAAGAUGCAAAGAACUUUGAAAAGAGAGUUAAAGAGUGCCUGGAAUUG
rnacentral:rRNA from 1 species